AGGCUCUAACUGGCUUUCCCUGCA
rnacentral:miRNA from 1 species